rnacentral:rRNA from 1 species
ACAACUUUUAACAAUAGAUCUCUUAGUUCUAGCAUUAAUAAAGAACGCAGCGAAAUGCGAUAAGUAGUGUAAAUUGUAGAAUUUAGUAAAUUAUUAAAUCUUUAAACGUAUAUUGCGCCCCUUAGUAUUCUAUAGGGCAUACCUAUUUAAGCGUUAUUUGUACCCUUAAGCUCUACUUAGUGUUAGGUGUUUGUUCUACUUAGGACUUGCCUUAAAACAAUUAGCAGCUAGCAUAUUAGCCUAGAGCGUAGCAUAUUUUGCGCCUCUUAUUAUAGUUAUUAGUAUCUAUUAAGACACUUUUUAAGCUCUUAACCUUAGAUUAGGUAGGGAUACCUGCUAAACUUAAGCAUAUUAAUAAGCAGAGGAAAAGAAACUAAUAGGGAUUACCCUAGUAAUAGCAAGUAAAGCUGUAACAGCUUAAAUUUAAAAUCUAGCUCUUUUAGGGUCUAAGUUGUAAUUUGCAGAGAGCGCUUUAGUGUUAGUAGUAGUCUAAGUUCCUUAGAAUAGGAUAUUAUAGAGGGUAAGAAUCCUAUACAUAGUUACUAGCCUUUGCCGUGUAAAGCCCCUUUAACAAGUUAAGUUAUUUAGGAAUAUAGCUCUAAAUAGGAGGUAAAUUUCUUCUAAAGCUAAAUACUAGCUAGAGACUAAUAGCGCACAAGUAGAGUAAUAAAAAGAUAAAAAGCACUUUAAAAAGAGAGUUAAAUAGCACGUGAAAUUGUUAAAAGGGAAGCGCUUGCAGCUAGACUUGCCUAUAGUUGCUUAUCUAGGCUUUUGUCUAGUGCACUCUUUUAUAGGCAGGCUAGUAUUAGUUUAGGUAGUUAGAUAAAGGUCUCUAUUACCUACCUCCCUUUAGGGAGGCCUAUGGGGGGAGACAAUAUGUAACUAGCCUAGACUAUGGUCCGCGCAUCUACUAGGAUACUAGCGUAAUAGCUAUAAGCGGCCUAUCUUAUAAAUCCAGACUAAGGAGUCUAAUAUCUAUACAAGUGUUUAGGGGUUAAGCCUAGACGUGUAAUAAAAGUAAACAGAGGUAGGAACCCUUUUAGGGUGCACUAUUAACCAAUCCUAAUAUCUUUAGAAGGAUUUAAGUAAGAGUAUAGCUAUUAGGACCUAAAAGAUAGUAAACUAUGCUUAAAUAGGGUAAAGCUAGAGGAAACUCUAGUAGAGGCUCGUAGCAGUUCUAACGUGCAAAUUAAUUGUUAAAUUUAGGUAUAGGGGCAAAAGACUAAUUAAACUAUCUAGUAGCUAGUUCCUGCUAAAGUUUCCCUUAGGAUAGUAGUAACGUAUUUAGUUUUAUAAGGUAAAGCGAAUAAUUAGAGGCCUAGGGGUUAAAAUAACCUUUACCUAUUCUUAAACUUUAAAUAUGUAAGAAGUCCUUAUUACUUAAUUAAACGUAGACACUUAAAUAUACUAUUACUAGUAGGCUAUUUUUAGUAAGCAGAACUAGCGAUGCAGGAUAAACUAAACGUAGGGUUAAGGUGCUAGAAUGCACGCUUAUUAGACACUACAAAAGGUGUUAGUUUAUCUAGAUAGCAGGAUAGUAGCUAUAGAAGUUAGAAUCUACUAAGGAGUGUGUAAUAACUUACCUGCUAAAUAAACUAGCCCUAAAAAUAGAUAGCGCUUAAGCGUGUUACCUAUACCCCGCCGCCAGGGCAAGAUUUAAGCCCUAGCAAGUAGGCAGGCGUAGAGGCUUGUGACAAAGCCUUAGGGGUAACCCUAGGUAGAACAGCCUCUAGUGCAGAUCUUAGUAGUAGUAGCAAAUACUUAAAUAAGAACUUUAAGGACUAAAGUAGGGAAAGGUUCUGUAUAAACAGCAGUUAGACACAGGUUAGUUAAUCCUAAGAGAUAGGGUAAUUCUAUUUUAAUAUUAGUGCUUGCGCUACGCCCUUAAAAGGGAAGCUAGUUAAUAUUCUAGCACCUAGAUGUAGAUUCUCUGCAGCAACGCAACUAAGAGCAGAGACCUUAGCAGGAGCCCUAAGAAGAGUUCUCUUUUCUUCUUAACAGUCUAUUACCCUAAAAUUAGUUUGUCUAGAGCUAGGGUUUAAUAGCUAGAAGAGCGCUAUACUUUUAUAGUAUUUAGUGCGCUCCUAAUAAGCCUUAAAAAUCUACUUAAAGAAAUAGUUUUUACGCUAGGUUGUACUUAUAACUAUAGCAGGUCUCUAAGGUAAAAAGCCUCUAGUUAAUAGAAUAAUAUAGAUAAGGGAAGUUAGUAAAAUAGAUCUAUAACUUUAGGAAAAGGAUUAGCUCUAAGGGUUAGGUACGUUAGGCCUUAGGGAGAAGCCUCUAGCGCAGAAGGGCACUAACUGCAAGGUGGGCGCCUCUUAGCGCUAGGGUGUAGACACCCUUAGUAGGUUUUGGCUGUCUAGCGUACGUUUAAUAACUAACUUAGAACUAGUAUAGAUAAGGGGAAUCUAACUAUCUAAUUAAAACAUAGUAUUACAAUAGCUAGAAAGUAGUAUUAAUAUAAUGUGAUUUCUGCCUAGUGCUCUAAAUAUUAAAGCAAAGAGAUUUAACUAAGCGCAGGUAAAUAGCAGGAGUAACUAUAACUCUCUUAAGGUAGCUAAAUGCCUUGUUAUCUAAUUAGUAACGCGCAUAAAUAGAUUAACAAGAUUCCUACUAUCCCUAUCUACUAUCUAGCGAAACUAUAGCUAAGGGAAUAGGCUUAGCUAAAUUAGCAGGGAAAGAAGACCCUAUUAAGCUUAACUCUAGUUUAACAUUAUAAAAAGAUAUAGGGGGUGUAGAAUAGGUAGGAGCUUUAGCGCUAGUAAAAUACUACUACCCUUAUUGUUUUUUUACUUAUUUAAUAAAGCAGAGCUAGGCCUUACUACCUAACUUCUAGCGUUUAAGGUCCUUUAUAGGCUAAUCUAGGUUAAAGAUAUUGUUAGGUAGGGAGUUUAGCUAGGGCAGCAUAUCUAUUAAACUAUAACGUAGGUGUCCUAAGGGGGACUUAUAGAGAAUAGAAAUCUCUAGUAGAGUAAAAGGGCAAAAGUCCCCUUAAUUUUAAUUUUUAGUGUGAAUACAAACUAUAAAAGUGUAGCCUAUUAAUCCUUUAGUCCCUUAAAAUUUAAGGCUAGAGGUGCUAGAAAAGUUACUAUAGGGAUAACUGGCUUGUGGCAGCCAAGCGUUUAUAGCAACGUUGCUUUUUAAUCCUUUAAUAUUAGCUCUUCCUAUUAUACUAAAGUAGAAUUUAGUAAGCGUUAGAUUGUUUACCUACUAAUAGGGAACGUAAGCUAGGUUUAGACUGUUGUAAGAUAGGUUAGUUUUACCCUACUAAUAACCUUGCCCUAAUAGUAAUACCGCUUAGUACAAGAGGAACCGCGGUUUUAGAUAAUUAGUUUUUGCGGCUAUCUAACUAGGCAUUACUGCAAAGCUACUAUCUACUAGAUUAUAGCUAAACGCCUCUAAGUCAGAAUCCAUGCUAGAAUAGGGUGAUUUCCGCCUGCACUAGUUAGAUACAAAUAGGCCUUUGGCCUAGAACCUUACUAGAUUAGCGUUAGCAGCCCUAUUAAAGUUAGGGUUGUUAGCUAGUAUAUUACAAUUGUACAGUGCGCAGGAUUAAAUCCUUUGUAGAUAACUUA